CCCACUGAGCCCCACCCUGGCGCCCCACCUUGAGUUUUUUUACUUUGCAAUGUAUUGCUUUAAAAAAAAAAAAAUUAGACAAUAAACAGCCUUCGGCAGCCUCGCAGCAGACCAGCUAGGUGGAGGCUGCUGUCCACCCGUGGCCCCUCACCUGAGCUCGACCUGCUGACAGACAUUGUCAGAACGCUGGCCCAGCUUGUGCACCUCCACCUCCUGGCGCUCCAGGUCGGGGCAGUGCUCCUGGAAGCGGCUGGCCAGUGAGCUGGAGCACUGCUUGGCCGCCUGCAGGUUCUGCUCCACCUCAGCAAGGAGGGACUUCUGCGUCUGCAGCUUGGAGGCCAGGACCUGCCCGGGCGGAGAGGCAGGGCGCUGUGGCCGGAGCUCCCGCCCGAACUGCUUGGGGCCUCCUGCCUUGGUGGGGGUGGGGGGUGGGGGGAGUGUUAAGCCUGGGCGAAGGAAGGGACUAGGGCUUUGCCUCUGCAUUUCCCCUUAAACCUGGUGGUCAUUUCUGCAACGUUCUGUUUCAUCACAAUGACCACAGCCCAGGAAAACUAAUGUGAAAACCCAGCAGUAGGCAGCAUGUGCCCUGCUACAUCGUGCCCAGGACCAGAAGGACCCGCUGCUGUCCGGGGGCAAGGCCACAGCUCUGAGGUGAGGAUCUCCGCACAGAGCAAGGAUUCUGUGAGCUGCUGUGGCAUGGCCACUCUCAGGUACCGUGUCGUCCUGGGUCAGCUGGUUCUCGUACGUGGCCAGUGCUUCCCAGCCCCGCUGCAGGCUCUGCUCCAGGCGGUUGGCCAUAUCCACCCUGAGGACAUGGGUCAGGCGUGAGGGGUGCCCGCCUGGCUCUGUGAUCCCGCCCAACCUCCCCGCUGCCCGCCUGUCACCCACUUCUCCUGGGCCAAGUCCAGCAACUGCACCAGGCGCUCGUAUUUGCGGUUAGUGUCUUCGACCCGGGUCUUCAGCAAAGACGUGCUGCUGCUGCCCGGGAGCGCCUGCACAAAUUCCUCGCACUCAGCCGUGCUGCGCGCUUUCUCAGGCUCGAUCCGCCGCAGCUCGUUGGUGAUGUUCUGUGGGGACCAGAGCCCUGGAGUUGGCCACGGUCCGGCAGCCUCCUCCCUUCCAGGGGCUUCAUGGGACAGAGGAAACUGUCAGGGAAGCCUGGGCACCCCCUCCCCGAGGGAGCCAGCCCAUAAUGAGCAUCCCCCGAAUCCUGGUAUGGUGGGUUGGUGGGCUGUGACCCACAAGAAUGGUGGAAGUUAACAGGUGAUUAUCAAGCAUCUACUGUUCCGUGCACAUCAUGUGGAUGAUUUUCAUCUCUGGGGGCCACCCCAGUAGGUGGGUACUCCCUCCCCCCACCCAAACCCCGUUCGCAGGUGACCUUUGCAAGCAGCUCCGGCAGGGAUAAUGGGGCCUAGCCAUGCCCCCUCCCCUGUGCCCAUCCUCCUCCGGUCCCAGCCUCGUUUCUGAACACUUGGAGGUCUGUGGUCAAGCAGCCAGCAAGCAACUCUAACACCCACUUGGCAGGGUGGUGAGGUGCUCGACCAGUCCCUGGUGUCCUCAAUACUGCCACGGGGCCGCAGGUGACAAGCCAUGUGGAAGCAGCAUGAGCCUCGCUUGCCCAUUCUCCUAGGGCCGUGUUUGGGGCAUGAGGGCCCAGGCCCCUCCUCGGUCAUCAGCCCAGAACGGCCCCCUCACUGCCGUCACUCAGGCCCUCUGGUUACAUGGGGCAGGUGGUCCCUGUUCGGGAUGGAGGCCCCCAUGGGGAUGAGACCAGUCUGGUGGUACCUUGAGGUCCUUGGCCCGCUCCGCGCUGUCCUGCACAGCUCGGCCCUGCUCCAGCGGUGGCCGGAGGAUCCCCGUGACAGCCUUCUCCUGCCGCUCCAGGUCUCUGGCCACCUUGUCCAAGCCAGCCAGCAGAUGCCGCCCCUGAAGGUCAGAGGGGUCUGCCAGAAGAAAAUCGCAGAGUCAGGUGGUAGUGGGGAGCCGGAGUGGGGGACACGACGCACAGGGAGAGGGCAGGGCCUAGGAGGUCAGCUGGGACUUCUGGGGCUGGCCUGGCCUCCCCCACCACUGCCCUGCCUGCCUCCUGCCGUGCCCUCCCCCCUGUCCACCCAGAGCCCUGGACGGUGGCCCCAGCACCCACCUCCAGGGUUCUCUGCCUUCAGCACCUCAUGCCGCUGCUGGAGCGCACUCUUGCUCCUGGCUGCCUUCUGCCGCACGCUCCGGUACUGGCUGCCCAAGCUGUGAGUGCAGAAAUGUGCUGGGGUCCCGGGGCAGCCCGCCGCCCCCCAAAACCACACCAUGGGACUCUGGACUGUGGCUGGGCAGAUGGCCCAGAGCAGUCACAGGCCCAUCAAAUGUUAAAAACCGGCACACGUGGCAAGUUUGUGAUAAUGCUGCUCGCUCUUUGCUCUGGGUUCGGAUGGACCCUCCCUUCCUUGUCUCUCCUCUCCUUCACACCGGGUUUUCCCUCCUAAAGUUAUCUUGUUUAUGCCUUUGUCUUCCCCACCAAGACGUUACUCCUGAGGUAGCAGUACACAGUAGGUGCUCAAUAAAUACUUGCUGAAUGAA